GACGAACGCUGGCGGCGUGCUUAACACAUGCAAGUCGAGCGGUAAGGCCCUUUCGGGGGUACGACGAGCGGCGAACGGGUGAGUAACACGUGGGUGACCUGCCCUCAGCUCUGGGAUAAGCCUGGGAAACCGGGUCUAAUACUGGAUAUGACUCCAUGACGCAUGUUGUGGGGUGGAAAGCCUUGUGCGGCUGAGGAUGGGCCCGCGGCCUAUCAGCUUGUUGGUGGGGUGAC
rnacentral:rRNA from 1 species